GUCUACGGCCAUGCCACCCUGAACGCGCCCGAUCUCAUCUGAUCUCGGAAGCUAAGCAGGGUUGGGCCUGGUUAGUACUUGGAUGGAAGAAAUUUAACUUCUUGCAGAUC
ensembl:rRNA 5S_rRNA 5S ribosomal RNA